GGGCGCAGGUGGCUUCCCCCGAAUAUGACUCCUGCAGUGCCCGGGGGUCCCCAGCGUCCAGGGGCCAGCAGCUUCUCCAGGCCACCCCCUUGGGCAGUUUCAUAGCAGAGUGCCUCGGGGACACCUGCAGGCGAACGAACACCUUUCUCCGGCACCUGAAAAGGCGCCCAACCUGGUUUGCAUAUUGAGCUUCCAGAACUAUUUUCAACUACCGGGAGCAGCUGGGCAUGAAGAACACAUUCUUAUGUCUUUAGCUACAAAUUGCACACGACUUAAAAACUUGCCUUUGAAUUGAAUUCGUAGACAUUGAUUUAGUCCGUUUCAGACCCACACUCACAGUUUCUAUUGGAAAACAUGUUUUGUAAAGUGAAGGGGAUAUUUCUCUAAGAAGCAUUCCGAAGCCGCCACAAAGAGCUACAUGAACUGAACACAGCAAAAAUCAGUUUGUUGAAAUAGAAGACACCCCUGCAUGGACUUUUGUUAUUCACUCUUGUAGAAAAGACGUCCCCCUUUUCAAGAAUAACUACCAUCCUGAAAUCACCCUCCCUUCCCUUCCGUAACUGCCACCAUUAAGAAGCAUUUGUGCGGCCCUGACCUCACCAGGCAGCACCUACAGUUGGUGUGUAUGUUUCAAAGUCUGGAUUAUGUCUUCAGUUUGCACCAGGCUUCCUCUUUCCACGAACAGAUAUCUGUUUCAUGACUGGGUGAGUGAGACGUCUCCAAAGGAAUGGCCGUGGUCAGCAUCCCGGACUCAUCAAAGCUAAAUUACCGCUCGAUAAUAUUGCAUUCUGUGCUGCACGGAUGCUCUCGCACACCUGAGCGGACCGGGGCGCUCCGCUGCCUAAUUUCUCCUUUGUGGGAGAGUGGAAGAGAGAGAAAGACAAAGAGAAACAUCGAUAUGCAAUCAAGCAACAAUCUGGCGUAAUCCAGGAGUUUAAACAUCCGAUGGGCCAACUGAUCCACAAUUUGAGGUCCCUAUCUUUUUGGAGCAAACACUUACGUGCGAGGUGCCGGACAUACCAAGAUGAAAACACAGAACCGAGUUGAGAGUUUCCAGCCCAGUAACCUCCAUCCAGGUACCACCAUGCCCAAUUCCUGUGUAACUUCUACCACACUAAGGCAUUGAUUAAAAAGAGAAAAAUGGCCCUAACUGGUUUGGUU